rnacentral:rRNA from 1 species
AGCGAACGCUGGCGGCAGGCCUAACACAUGCAAGUCGAACGAACCUUUCGGGGUUAGUGGCGGACGGGUGAGUAACACGUGGGAACGUGCCUUUAGGUUCGGAAUAACUCAGGGAAACUUGUGCUAAUACCGAAUGUGCCCUUCGGGGGAAAGUUUAAUCGCCUUUAGAGCGGCCCGCGUCUGAUUAGCUAGUUGGUUGAGGUAAUGGCUCACCAAGGCGACGAACAGUAGCUGGUCUGAGAGGAUGAUCAGCCACAUUGGGACUGAGACACGGCCCAAACUCCUACGGGAGGCAGCAGUGGGGAAUCUUGCGCAAUGGGCGAAAGCCUGACGCAGCCAUGCCGCGUGAAUGAUGAAGGUCUUAGGAUUGUAAAAUUCUUUCACCGGGGACGAUAAUGACGGUACCCGGAGAAGAAGCCCCGGCUAACUUCGUG